GACGAACGCUGGCGGCGUGCUUAACACAUGCAAGUCGAACGGAAAGGCCCUGCGUUUUUGGGGUGCUCGAGGGGCGAACGGGUGAGUAACACGUGAGUAACCUGCCCUUGACUUUGGGAUAACUUCAGGAAACUGGGGCUAAUACCGGAUAGGAUCUCCUGCUGCGUGGUGGGGGUUGGAAAGUUUCGGCGGUUGGGGAUGGACUCGCGGCUUAUGAGCUUGUUGGUUGGGUAGUGGCUUACCAAGGCUUGGACGGGUAGCCGGCCUGAGAGGGUGAACGGGCACAUUGGGACUGAGAUACGGCCCAGACUCCUACGGGAGGCAGCAGUGGGGAAUAUUGCACAAUGGGCGGAAGCCUGAUGCAGAAACGCCGCGUGCGGGAUGACGGCCUUCGGGUUGUAAACCGCUUUCGCCUGUGACGAAGCGUGAGUGACGGUAAUGGGUAAAGAAGCACCGGCUAACUACGUG
rnacentral:rRNA from 1 species